UUCUCUCUGCCGUGUCCGUUAGGUUUUAACGCCCCUGCGGAAUAAUCAUUGAACGGGAGCCUGUUUCGACCGUGGUGUGCUGCCCCAUUGCGCGGGAAUUGCCUGAAGCGGUCCACGGGACCUCCCACCUGUUAGGGAACUCGCUGUGAGGCCCCCCAACCAACGACAGGGCGGAGAGACU
rnacentral:other from 1 species